rnacentral:rRNA from 1 species
AUUGAACGCUGGCGGCAUGCCUUACACAUGCAAGUCGAACGGUAACAGGUCUUCGGAUGCUGACGAGUGGCGAACGGGUGAGUAAUACAUCGGAACGUGCCCGAUCGUGGGGGAUAACGAAGCGAAAGCUUUGCUAAUACCGCAUACGAUCUACGGAUGGAAGCAGGGGACCGCAAGGCCUUGCGCGAACGGAGCGGCCGAUGGCAGAUUAGGUAGUUGGUGGGAUAAAAGCUUACCAAGCCGACGAUCUGUAGCUGGUCUGAGAGGACGACCAGCCACACUGGGACUGAGACACGGCCCAGACUCCUACGGGAGGCAGCAGUGGGGAAUUUUGGACAAUGGGCGAAAGCCUGAUCCAGCCAUGCCGCGUGCAGGAUGAAGGCCUUCGGGUUGUAAACUGCUUUUGUACGGAACGAAAAGACUCUGGUUAAUACCUGGGGUCCAUGACGGUACCGUAAGAAUAAGCACCGGCUAACUACGUG